ensembl:lncRNA
GCACCGGCAACGUUACUUCUCACGCGCUGGAUUACCGUGUAACGUCUCAGUGACCGCGGAGUAACGCUGACGUUACUUCAUUACAGCUGAACUGGGUCCACCCUGACUUCACAUUGCACUUCCUAGAGAAAGGAAAAGCCCUGAUGUGCUUGUCACCCGAGCUGACGGCUGG